rnacentral:tRNA from 2 species
AGACUUUUGGUGUAGUGGAAACAUAGGAGGUGCAAGCUUGCUGACGUAGGUUCGAUUCCUGCAGGGUCUA